GUAGUUCAUUUCGCGCCGGUUGCUUCACGUAUUAAAAUAAAUAUUUCUUUUUAAUACAAACGAUGAAAACUGUGCGCGCACAUAGGGCGCGACAUUUGCGACGUUUGAAUUUUGCACUAUUUCCCGCGCGCUCCGUACGUGACCGGCCGGCGCACUGCGUUACCGCGAUAAAGAAAAUAGUUCCUCAAGGAAGCUAAGCAGAAAAUUUUCACACUCUUGCAAACCACAGAAAUUGUUAAGAAAUACCAUUAUAUUACAACAUUUGUUCAUAAAUAUGACAAUUCACAUCUAUGAAAGCGUGGAUUUGUAUGCGCGUUUUUGUGUGAAUGCGCGCUUGCGCUGUUGACUCUAGUCUCUUUGGCGGAUUCCGGAACUUUGUGCGUGCGGCGUAUGUGUGCGGGUUGCGUGAUGAGUUUGCUGUGUUUUCUGUGCCCUUUGCCUCGCUGUGACAUCUUUGGUAUAUUACAACUUAUUGCUCGGUCUUUAUGGGCUACACGGUGCCUCGAAGAUCACCAUGAUCGCCUCCGACUCAGCCACAUCGAAGGUUGGAGAGGUGCUCAUUCAGAUGAUCCUGGCACAGCUUGCCAUGGUGGACCAGGCAAGUUUGCAAGGGCCUUGAUUCACCAUGUGUUCACUGAGGAGAACCUCAUGGGCCACUUAUUUCUCGGAAACACCACCACCAAUAGGCAAAAAGAGGCUCUUGGCCUUAUCAGGGUCAACGCUGUUAUAGGCAAGUACCUUUCCUGGGACAAACAUGACCUACAUUAAGAACACUCUGGCCUCACUUCUCGCAAGGGACCUGAAGUGUCCAGAAGAGCUCAAGUCUGUGGACAGUUCAAGCGUUGUGCACUUGCAGCCCUGAACAUUUUUUUUAUUAUUAUGAUGUUUCUAGUCACCUGAAAAGCCCAGGUUGGAUGGUUCAGACACAAGUACUGUGUUGUGAUUAAUAAUUAAUUGCACAAGUGUUGCGCUUUGUAUUUUAGUACAUUUUUACGUAAAUCUUUAAUAUAUUUCUACAAAAGCUAGUGUUUCUUGACUAUUUUAUUUCAUAGGUAUCUCAGGUCAUUUCAUGCCAAGACUGUUCCAUGACGGCACACCAUUUCAAGUUUGUUUGAUAAAGUAAAAGUAGGCCCAGUGAGAAAUUUUACAGAAAAUUAGGUUUCAUACGUACACCAGAAAGUGGAAUCUGUGCUAUUGUCAGAGUGGUUCUGUUUAAGGAAAACUACGUAUUAACAUAUGUUUGUAGUAAUGGUUUAUUUUGCUAUUUCAAAACAGUAAGAAUUAAGUGUUAAAGUUUGCUUAAAUUCAGAGUGCAACAACAGUUCUCGGGCAAGGCAGCGAUGUGCUUUCUUUCAUGUAUGCAUGAAAUCUGAUUUCUUGUAAAUUCUUUCAUUCUAACUUGUUUUGCGGCACUCAAAAUUAAACAAAAUUUCCUCAUGCCAGUUUCAUUUAAGGCUUCCAGCAGGUGACUAAUGGCCACUGUGUAUCAGAUAAAAAUCUUAAGUAGUCAAAGUGAAUAAAUCGCUUGGUAUGUAAUGACCUGCCCAGGAACCUAGUCAUGGCAGAAAACGCAACUGGAUCCUGCAACAAGCAAUGUAGCACAAUAAACUGCUGCCAUGGCGCAAGUUAUUGUAAUUACCAUGUCGUUUCAGAGGUAGAUAACGUUUAGUAAAAUGGGCACACCAUUUAACCAACAAAUAAGAGUCAGUGGGCUCAUGCAGAUUUUGCCAUAAUUAUUAAGUUACUGGCUACCAAAUGGAGAAAUUAAGUACAUUUUAAAUGGUAUUUACUGUAAUGCUUGUAUAAUAUUUAUUUUCUAUUUAUUUCAAUUUUGAGAAAUGUUUUACUUUAGGGCCACGCAAACUUUACAUCUCUCAGUAUUCAAUUUCGUUAUUGUAUCAAGCUGCUGGCAGUUUGUAGAUUGCGUUAGGAAUUUUUUAUCUCAAGGCACACAUGGCUGUACAGUUAACAAAUGUUUGGCUUCAAUAAACAAUUCAUCUA